GACGAACGCUGGCGGCGGGCUUAACACAUGCAAGUCGAACGGAAACGCACUGCUUUUGUGCGGUGAUCGAGUGGCGAACGGGUGAGUAACACGUGAGUAACCUGCCCUUGACUUUGGGAUAACUUCAGGAAACUGGGGCUAAUACCAUAUAGGAUCCCCUGUUGCGUGGUGGGGGUUGGAAAGUCUCGGCGGGUGCGGGUGGAUGCGCGGCUGAUCGGCUAGUUAGUGGGGUAGUGGCUUACCAAGGCAUUGACGGGUAGCCGGCCUGAGAGGGUGACCGGCGACCUUGGGACUAAGAUACGGACCAGACUCCUACGGGAGGCAGAAGUGGGGAAUCUUGCACAAUGGGCGGGAGCCUGAUGCAGAGGCGCCGCGUGCGGGAUGACGGCCUUCGGGUUGUAAACCGCUUUCGCCUGUGACGAAGCGUGAGUGACGGUAAUGGGUAAAGAAGCACCGGCUAACUACGUG
rnacentral:rRNA from 1 species